rnacentral:rRNA from 1 species
CCUACGGGAGGCAGCAGUAGGGAAUCUUCCACAAUGGACGAAAGUCUGAUGGAGCAACGCCGCGUGAGUGAAGAAGGGUUUCGGCUCGUAAAGCUCUGUUGGCAGUGAAGAAAGAUAGAGGUAGUAACUGGCCUUUAUUUGACGGUAAUUACUUAGACAGUCACGGCUAACUACGUGCCAGCGGCCGCGGUAAUACGUCGGUGGCAAGCGUUGUCUGGAUUUAUUGGGCGCAAAGGGGGGGCAGGCGGUUCAAUAAGUCUGAUGUGAAAGCCGUCGGCUCAUCCGGAGAAUUGCAUCAGAAACUGUUGAGCUUGAGUGCGGAAGAGGAGAGUGGAACUCCAUGUGUAGCGGUGGAAUGCGUAGAUAUAUGGAAGAACACCAGUGGCGAAGGCGGCUCUCUGGUCUGCAACUGACGCUGAGGCACGAAAGCAUGGGUAGCGAACAGGAUUAGAUACCCGUGUAGUC